ensembl:lncRNA
CUGCCACUGGUCAGGGACCAUUCUGAACCCUGUGAUGUCACAAGGGCACUAUAAAGCUGUGGGCAUGGGGCAUAGGCAACCCCUCCAUGGCAGUUGGUCAGUAGCUGUGAGGGCUCUCACUGGUGGUGGGCAGCAUUUGGCAAGCACUGGAAUUUAUGGCAUGCCUUGUUCAGUGAGUGGGGCAGCACAGACACUCUACCAGCCUUUUGCCACCAUGACCAAGGAUUUAAUGGAGACUCUACUGGUCAGCUGCCCAUGCACCACUUAUAGAUGUUAACAGGAAGACCCCUGCAGAGGGGCUAUCCAGGAAGAGCAGAAUUCACUAGGUGUGCUGAGCCCUGUCAGAAGCUACCCUGACAAUCCAGCCCAGGAGAAAAUGAGUCUGGACCCCUCAGCAGGAUUUAUCACGAGCCAUGAGACUCAAUUCAACACUACAUGCUUUGUUGUUUCCCCUGCUUCUACCCCCUGUGGAUGCUAGCACUUCUACCUUUAUGGAGUACAGUUCUCCACAUGUCCUGACCUUCAACUUUACAAUUUAACUGUAGUUAAAACACAAAGGAUUCCUGGCUGCUAGUUUUGGCUUCUAGUUCCAGAGAAAGACAGAAGCUACAUACUUCACUCUGUGGCUGGGCUAGAGUUGAUAGUUUGCUUCAUGGCUGUUGUCCAUAAAGCCUAUCAAAACUGGUUAUAUUCUGGCUCUCAUCUGGAUAGGUGUUAGAUAUGUAUGUGUCAGGCAACUCUCAUAAAAGAAAUGCAAGAUAAGGG